rnacentral:rRNA from 1 species
AUUGAACGCUGGCGGCAUGCCUUACACAUGCAAGUCGAACGGUAACAGGUCUUCGGAUGCUGACGAGUGGCGAACGGGUGAGUAAUACAUCGAAACGUGCCUAGUAGUGGGGGAUAACUACUCGAAAGAGUGGCUAAUACCGCAUGAGAUCUACGGAUGAAAGCAGGGGAUCGCAAGACCUUGUGCUACUAGAGCGGCCGAUGGCAGAUUAGGUAGUUGGUGGGAUAAAAGCUUACCAAGCCGACGAUCUGUAGCUGGUCUGAGAGGACGAUCAGCCACACUGGGUCUGAGAAACGGCCCAGACUCCUACGGGAGGCAGCAGUGGGGAAUUUUGGACAAUGGGCGCAAGCCUGAUCCAGCAAUGCCGCGUGCAGGAUGAAGGCCUUCGGGUUGUAAACUGCUUUUGUACGGAACGAAAAGCCCCGGGUUAAUACCCUGGGGUCAUGACGGUACCGUAAGAAUAAGCACCGGCUAACUACGUGCCAGCCACCGCCGUAA